rnacentral:rRNA from 1 species
CGCUGGCGGCGUGCCUAACACAUGCAAGUCGAACGAAGCACUCUGAUUGAGAUCGUCAAGAAUCAGAUUGACUUAGUGGCGGACGGGUGAGUAAUACAUGAGCAACCUGCCCUGAGGAGGGGGACAACAGCUGGAAACGGCUGCUAAUACCGCAUGAUGUGUCCGGGAGGCAUCUCCUGGAUACCAAAGAUUUAUCGCCUUGGGGAUGGGCUCAUGUCUGAUUAGCUAGUUGGUGGGGUAACGGCUCACCAAGGCUGCGAUCAGUAGCCGGACUGAGAGGUUGAACGGCCACAUUGGGACUGAGAUACGGCCCAGACUCCUACGGGAGGCAGCAGUGGGGAAUAUUGGGCAAUGGGCGAAAGCCUGACCCAGCAACGCCGCGUGAAGGAAGAAGGCCUUCGGGUUGUAAACUUCUUUUAUGAGGGACGAAGGACGUGACGGUACCUCAUGAAUAAGCCACGGCUAACUACGUGCCAGCAGCUGC